rnacentral:rRNA from 1 species
UUUCCUACGGGGCGCAGCAGUGAGGAAUAUUGGGCAAUGGAGGCAACUCUGACCCAGCCAUGCCGCGUGAGUGAAGAAGGUUUUCGGAUUGUAAAGCUCUUUCGGAUGUGACGAUGAUGACGGUAGCAUCUAAAGAAGCCCCGGCUAACUUCGUGCCAGCAGCCGCGGUAAUACGAAGGGGGCAAGCGUUAUCCGGAUUUACUGGGUGUAAAGGGGGCGCAGACGGCGAUGCAAGCCAGGAGUGAAAGCCCGGGGCCCAACCCCGGGACUGCUCUUGGAACUGCGUGGCUAGAGUGCAGGAGGGG